GAUUAUGGCUCAGGAUGAACGCUAGCUACAGGCUUAACACAUGCAAGUCGAGGGGAAACGAUAUUGAAAGCUUGCUUCUUAGGCGUCGACCGGCGAAUGGGUGAGUAACGCGUAUCCAACCUGCCCCUGAGUAAGGGAUAGCCCAUCGAAAGAUGGAUUAAUACCUUAUGGUUUCCUUUGAAGGCAUCCGAUUAGGAAUAAAGAUUUAUCGCUGAGGGAUGGGGAUGCGUCUGAUUAGCUUGUUGGCGGGUAACGGCCCACCAAGGCAACGAUCAGUAGGGGUUCUGAGAGGAAGGUCCCCCACAUUGGUACUGAGACACGGACCAAACUCCUACGGGAGGCAGCAGUGAGGAAUAUUGGUCAAUGGGCGCAAGCCUGAACCAGCCAAGUAGCGUGCCAGGACGACUGCCCUAUGGGUUGUAAACUGCUUUUAUACGGGGAUAAAGUCAGGGUCGUGACCCUGUUUGCAGGUACCGUAUGAAUAAGGACCGGCUAAUUCCGUGCCAGCAGCUGC
rnacentral:rRNA from 1 species